AGGGGUAUAGCUCAGUGGUAGCAUGCAUGCUUGGCAUGCACGAGGUCCUGGGUUCAAUCCCCAGUGCUUCUG
rfam:Camelus ferus unplaced genomic scaffold scaffold1500, whole genome shotgun sequence.